rnacentral:rRNA from 1 species
GACGAACGCUGGCGGCGUGCUUAACACAUGCAAGUCGAACGGUGAAGGGACUGGUUUUGCUGGUCCUGGAUGAGUGGCGACCGGGUGAGUAACACGUGAGUAACCUGCCCCCUUCUUCUGGAUAACCGCAUGAAAGUGUGGCUAAUACGGGAUAUUCUGGGUCUGUCGCAUGGUGGGCCUGGGAAAGAUUGCGCCUUUUUUGGUGUUUUUGGUGGGGGAUGGGCUCGCGGCCUAUCAGCUUGUUGGUGGGGUGAUGGCCUACCAAGGCGGUGACGGGUAGCCGGCCUGAGAGGGUGGACGGUCACACUGGGACUGAGACACGGCCCAGACUCCUACGGGAGGCAGCAGUGGGGAAUAUUGCACAAUGGGCGCAAGCCUGAUGCAGCGACGCCGCGUGAGGGAUGGAGGCCUUCGGGUUGUGAACCUCUUUCGCCAGUGAAGCAGGCCUGCCUCUUUUUGUGGGUGGGUUGACGGUAGCUGGAUAAGAAGCGCCGGCUAACUACGUG